rnacentral:rRNA from 1 species
GAUGAACGCUGGCGGCGUGCCUAAUACAUGCAAGUCGAGCGAACAGACGAGGAGCUUGCUCCUCUGACGUUAGCGGCGGACGGGUGAGUAACACGUGGAUAACCUACCUAUAAGACUGGGAUAACUUCGGGAAACCGGAGCUAAUACCGGAUAAUAUAUUGAACCGCAUGGUUCAAUAGUGAAAGACGGUUUUGCUGUCACUUAUAGAUGGAUCCGCGCCGCAUUAGCUAGUUGGUAAGGUAACGGCUUACCAAGGCAACGAUGCGUAGCCGACCUGAGAGGGGGAUCGGCCAACCUGGAACGGGGACACGGGCCAACCCCCUAGGGGGGGCAGCAGGAGGGAAUCUUCCGAAAGGGGCGAAAGCCUGACGGAGCAACGCCGGGGGGGUGAUGAAGGGCUGCGGAUCGUAAAACUCUUUUAUUAGGGAAGAACAAAUGUGUAAGUAACUAUGCACGUCUUGACGGUACCUAAUCAGAAAGCCACGGCUAACUACGU